AAGUCGUAACAAGGUCUCCGUUGGUGAACCAGCGGAGGGAUCAUUAAUGAGGCCUAAACCCUCUAUAAACCCACUGUGAACCUACUAUAUCUCGUUGCUUCGGCAGGCGGCCCCGGGGGGGCCCCAGGCCUCACGGCGCCUGCCGAGCGGCACCCGUCAGAAUCUUGCAGUUGUUGCCUUCAGCAGACAUCAGCCUGUAUUACAGGUGGUACAAUCAGUAAAAACUUUCAACAACGGAUCUCUUGGUUCUG
rnacentral:misc_RNA from 1 species